rnacentral:misc_RNA from 1 species
UACAGAGACUCCAAGCGUUAUUCGGAUUCACUGGGCGUAAAGGGUGCGCAGGCGGUCAGGUGUGUCAGGUGUGAAAGCCCGGGGCUUAACCCCGGAAUUGCGCCUGAAACUACCUGGCUAGAGUAUCGGAGAGGGAAGUGGAAUUCCAGGUGUAGCGGUGAAAUGCGUAGAUAUCUGGAGGAACACCAAAGGCGAAGGCAGCUUCCUGGACGAUGACUGACGCUCAGGCACGAAAGCGUGGGUAGCGAAAGGG